rnacentral:misc_RNA from 1 species
AAUUAUCAACCUUGCUCGCCUUUACCGGCUUGAGCUGAGGCUUGGACGUGGGGGUUUUUGCUGGCUUCCUUCAGUGGAUGGUCUGCUCCCCUUAAAUUCAUUAGCGGGAUCUCUUGUGGACCGUCACUUGGUGUGAUAAUUAUCUAUGCCGUUUGACCUUGAAGCAAAUUUAUGGGACCCUGCUUAUAACCGUCUCUUACCGGGACAAUUUAAUAACA